GGACUCUACGGGAGGCAGCAGUGGGGAAUAUUGCACAAUGGGCGCAAGCCUGAUGCAGCCAUACCACGUGUGUGAUAAGGCUUCGGGUUGUAAAGCACUUUCAGCGAGGAGGAAGGGUUCGGUGUUAAUAGCACUGUUCAUUGACGUUACUCGCAGGAGAAGCA
rnacentral:rRNA from 1 species